rnacentral:rRNA from 1 species
GACGAACGCUGGCGGCGUGCUUAACACAUGCAAGUCGAGCGAAGUAAUCUUAAAUGAAAUUUUCGGAUGGAAUGAGAGAUUAUCUUAGCGGCGGACGGGUGAGUAACGCGUGAGAAACCUGCCUUUCAUUAAGGGAUAGCCUCGGGAAACUGGGAUUAAUACCGUAUGAUACUCCAUACUCGCAUGAGAGUGAAGUUAAAGCGUAAAGUGAUGAAAGAUGGUCUCGCGUCCCAUUAGUUAGUUGGUGAGGUAACGGCUCACCAAGACCGCGAUGGGUAGCCGGCCUGAGAGAGUGAACGGCCACACUGGAACUGAGACACGGUCCAGACUCCUACGGGAGGCAGCAGUGGGGAAUAUUGCACAAUGGAGGAAACUCUGAUGCAGCGACGCCGCGUGAACGAUGAAGGCC